GAACGCUGAAGAGAGGAGCUUGCUCUUCUUGGAUGAGUUGCGAACGGGUGAGUAACGCGUAGGUAACCUGCCUUGUAGCGGGGGAUAACUAUUGGAAACGAUAGCUAAUACCGCAUAACAAUGGAUGACACAUGUCAUUUAUUUGAAAGGGGCAAUUGCUCCACUACAAGAUGGACCUGCGUUGUAUUAGCUAGUAGGUGAGGUAACGGCUCACCUAGGCGACGAUACAUAGCCGACCUGAGAGGGUGAUCGGCCACACUGGGACUGAGACACGGCCCAGACUCCUACGGGAGGCAGCAGUAGGGAAUCUUCGGCAAUGGGGGCAACCCUGACCGAGCAACGCCGCGUGAGUGAAGAAGGUUUUCGGAUCGUAAAGCUCUGUUGUAAGUCAAGAACGAGUGUGAGAGUGGAAAAUUCACACUGUGACGGUAGCUUACCAGAAAGGGACGGCUAACUACGUGCCAGCAGCCGCGGUAAUACGUAGGUCCCGAGCGUUGUCCGGAUUUAUUGGGCGUAAAGCGAGCGCAGGCGGUUUGAUAAGUCUGAAGUUAAAGGCUGUGGCUCAACCAUAGUUCGCUUUGGAAACUGUCAAACUUGAGUGCAGAAGGGGAGAGUGGAAUUCCAUGUGUAGCGGUGAAAUGCGUAGAUAUAUGGAGGAACACCGGUGGCGAAAGCGGCUCUCUGGUCUGUAACUGACGCUGAGGCUCGAAAGCGUGGGGAGCGAACAGGAUUAGAUACCCUGGUAGUCCACGCCGUAAACGAUGAGUGCUAGGUGUUGGAUCCUUUCCGGGAUUCAGUGCCGCAGCUAACGCAUUAAGCACUCCGCCUGGGGAGUACGACCGCAAGGUUGAAACUCAAAGGAAUUGACGGGGGCCCGCACAAGCGGUGGAGCAUGUGGUUUAAUUUCGAAGCAACGCGAAGAANCUUACCNGGUCUUGACNUCCCGAUGCUAUUUCUAGAGAUAGAAAGUUACUUCNGUACAUCGGUGACAGGUGGUGCAUGGNNNUCGUCAGCUCGNGUCGNGANNAUGUUGGGUUAAGU
rnacentral:rRNA from 2 species